AUAUCAAUGUGAUUUUAUUCACAACACAAAUUCCAUUUGUGAGAAAGAAGCAUAGAUUACUCCUCUUUAGAAAGAUAUUUACUAUCAAGCAUACUUAGCAAAUUAUUUAGCUAUCUAAAAAGAUCUGAUACCAAUCCACUACAGAAGAAAAAUAAGCAAUAUUGAGCCAUAAGGGACCCAGUUACAUAGUAUUAAAUAAUAUCUGAAACUAUUUUGAAAGACAACCAGACAAAAUACUUUUUCCAAAGUGAAAACCACAGCCUAUAGAUUUGGAAAAUUUUACAGAAAAGAAUAGCUCAUGCCUGUCCUAUGAGGCAACACCAUUUGUAUACAAGUGCCAAGAAGUAAGGAGAAAGUUAGGAUUUUAGCUGAGGAAUCUACUAAAGCCUGGCAUGUGGCAUUUUCUUCAUUAGUGCCACUGAAAGCAGUCUCUGUGUUGCACCUGAAUACACUUUAU
rnacentral:lncRNA from 1 species